rnacentral:rRNA from 1 species
UACGGAGGGGGCAAGCGUUAUUCGGAAUUAUUGGGCGUAAAGGGCGCGUAGGCGGCUAGAUGUGUCAAAGGUGAAAUCCCUCGGCUCAACUGAGGAACUGCCUUUGAAACUGUCUGGCUUGAGGCCGGGAGAGGGUAGCGGAAUUCCCAGUGUAGCGGUGAAAUGCGUAGAUAUUGGGAGGAACACCCGUAGCGAAGGCGGCACUCUGGGCCGGUACUGACGCUGAGGAGCGAAAGCGUGGGGAGCAAACAGG